UGGAGCCUAGACGCUCCAGCCGGGCCAGCCUGCCCCUUCUCUCCCAGGUGAGAAGCGCUCCCAGAGGAGUCGGCUCCCUUUUCCUUUUUUACUUCCAGCUGUCACCUCAGCCCGUGGCCACUUGCCCUUCAAGCAGAGAAACGUAUACAAAGAACACGGGAUUUGGAUUUACAAAGAUUGUGCCUUUAAAUCCGGCUGUGUGACCUUGAGCAAAUUGCUCAGCCUCUCGGCGUCAGUUUCCUCAUCCGUAAAGAGACUUGGGAGGAUUAGAGAUAACGCGUAAAAUGCUUAGCACCGUGCCUGGUACAGCGUGAGCUCGCAGCUAUUUUCACUCCGAGCUUGCUUGGGUUGGAGCCCGGCCCCCUCUCCCCGCCCCCAGCCUCGGCCUGACCUGCACCCGGGAGCUGUCUGUCUCCAGCCGCGAAUGGGGGAGGCGCCCCGGAGCAGCCGACCAGCCAACGGUCUCGCGCUCCGAUUUCCUCACCGUAUGAAAUGAAAUUCCACAGGGGGAUUCGAAAGGAAAUGAGACCGGGACGCUCCGUGCUUCUCGGCCCGCCGCCCUUCCUGUCUCGGGGACACGGUUUCUAAAUAAGAGCCCGGGGAAUCCCUGCCUCAGCCUGCUUGAAGCGACUGUCUCCUUUGAGAACACUUGAAAAAGCCCCUUGCCCGACAGAAGCUUUUCCUGUCAACAGCUUUUCUUUCCCGGCAUGGAACUCAUCGCAGAAAACACUUCCCCAAGGGAGUUCCAGGCAGAAGGCUAUCCACCCUGUGACAUGCAGAGCGCUUAGGAGAGGAGUAGAAGUCUCCUUCACAAUCCUCUGAGGUUAGAGGCUGUGCUGAACAGCAAAGAAAAACACUACCUGACCCAAUGAAGGCUCUCAAUAGAGAGUUGUUGAAUAAAUAAAUGAAUGGGGGACUUCCCUGGUGGCACAGUGGUUAAGAAUCCGCCUGCCAGUGCAGGGGACACGGGUUCAAGCCCUGGUCUGUGAAGAUCCCUCAUGCUGCAGAGCACCUAAACCCAUGCAUCACAACUAUGGAGCCGGCGCUCUAGAGCCCGUGAGCCACAACUACUGAGCCUGUGUGCUGCAACUCUUGAAGCCCACGCACCUAGAGCCUAUGCUCUGAAACAAGAGAAGCCACCGCAAUGAGAAGCCCGUGCACUGCAAGGAAGAGUAGCCCCCGCUCGCCACAACUAGAGAAAGCCUGCACGCAGCAAUGAAGACCCAAUACAACCAAAAAUAAAUAAAUAAAUAAAUAUUUUUAAAAAGAAGACGUUAACUAUGGGGACUUCCCUGGUGGCACAGUGGAUAAGACUCUGUGCUCCCAAUGCAGGGGCCCCAGGUUCGAUCCCUGGUCAGGGAACUAGAUCCCACAUGCAUGCCACAACUAAGAGUUUGCAUGCUGCAACUAAGGAGCCCACGUGCGGCAACUAAG